GGUUGGAUGGAGAGGUACUGUAAGAUAUGGAAGUCUCCAAGCACACAAACGUAUGGAUCUUGGAAGACGUGAUGAUGUUGAAUGCUGGUUCUACAUGCUCAUUGAGAU
rnacentral:sRNA from 1 species